GGGGGAGUCACUAGUGGCAUGGUUGUCAUGGCAACAGCUGCCUUUGCUAACUGAUUUUCCCCAGACAACCAUGAUACCAUUACAAAGAAGGGUCCGAGGAGGAGCUGCAGUGAGAGCAGUCUGGGGUUGGAUAAGUUCCUGCUUCACUCAUUUGGGUUUGUAUUGGGGUUUGGGUCUGAAAUGUGGAUUCAAAAGAGCAUCCCUCCAAAAAGAAGGGUAAGAGAGCUGCGUCACCACCAUCUUCUGUUUCCAGUUGCCUUAUAAUAGCAGGUAUUGACUGAUCUUAAAACCAUACCUAUCUCCACAUCAGGCAGUCAUCUUCAGGUAAUAUAGCAUCUAGUUUUGAGUACCUGUAACUCCCAUUGAAGUAGGUCUUGUCUACUGAUCCCCCAUGACCUGACUGCAGUUUUUGGACAAAAGAUAAAUCUUGAUAAUUGGUAAUCCACAGAUGAGAUUAAUGUUUGUCUUCAGUUUGCAUUUUUUCAUUAUAAUUGAUAAUCCUAUCAAGCUAUGGAGAUGCAUUUUCUUUCACGUCUUAAAUAUAUAGUGCCAUUUUCUCUGUCUGCUCAAAUAAAUAUGUUGACUUGAAUAUUGCUGCUUCUGUA
rnacentral:lncRNA from 1 species